GGACUACUGGGGUUUCUAAUCCUGUUUGCUCCCCACGCUUUCGUUUCUCAGCGUCAGUCUCUGACCAGUCGCCCGCCUUCGCCACAGGUGUUCCUCCAUAUAUCUACGCAUUUCACCGCUACACAUGGAAUUCCAGCGACCCCUUCAGUACUCUAGUGCUGAGGUCUCCUAGGCAGUUCCCGAGUUAAGCUCGGGGAUUUCACCUAGGACUCUCAGAACCGCCUACAAACGCUUUACGCCCAGUAAUUCCGAACAACGCUUGCACCCUCUGUAUUACCGCGGCUGCUGGCAC
rnacentral:rRNA from 1 species